AUGCCAGCCUGUCUGCACCAGAGCCCUUUCAAAGCACGUGGUUUAGUUCAGGGCUCACAUUGGAUGUUGCCUGGUGUUGUUUGGCCAGCAAGGAAAAUGCGCCAAGCCCUGGAUCGCUCCUUUGGGACUUCAUCAGCUGCAAACCCUCACCGUAUUUUUGUGUGUUUGGAAGUAAGAAGAGAGCAAGCGAGGGCCGAGACCGAAUGGGAAGACCCGGUGGCUCAGAGAAGAUGCAUCCCUGCUGGUCUGAGGGUCGUAGUCCGUGCACCAACUUUGAUUCCUGGACGUAGCAGAAUAAUGCUUCCAGAUUUUCAAACUCCUUUGGUGACAAUUUGAGCAUCUGCUAAUGUCUUAGCCCUGUCUGAAAUCCCAGCUGAUUUUCAACACUGUGGCUCCCUGCCAGGAUCCAUGAGUCGGCGUCUUGAAGUGAGAGACAGGACCCUCUGCUCUUCAGGUUCUAUCAGUGCAAAGAGGGCCCACUAAGACCGUCUCCGCAGGGCCCCAUCUGACAGGCACCAGACAAAGCUCCUCACACUCCGUAAAUGCCACUCAUCAUGAAUGUGGCUAUGAUUAAAUCGUGAUGAGGACAGUGACCCACAAGACUGGAAAACCACUUUGGCACCUUGACGCAGAUGUUUUCAAGGACCGGGUUAGAGAACGUGUACCAUCAUUCCACUUUUAGCUGUUUUGUUUCAUUACAACCUUUUUAGUUUAGCAUGACAACCAUAACAAGUACAAUAUUUUGG
rnacentral:lncRNA from 1 species